rnacentral:rRNA from 1 species
UCGCUCUAUCGAACGCAAGGGGUGCGUGCAGACCACAGUGGCAUUGGGGCCGACCAGAGCGGCCACCGCCCGCACGCCCCGACCAAGGGAGGAGGAGGGAGAGAGMGAGAGGGAGARRGAGAGRGGGAGAGAGAGAGAGAGAGGGAAGAKGGAAAAAGGGAGCCAGCCAGCCAGCCAGCCAGCGGUCUCGCGCGAUGCCAGGCAGCCAGCCAGCCAGUCAGCCAGCCAGCCAGCCCCCACAUCACUCUCGAUCCCUCUGUCCACUCGUCGUCGUGCUCCGCUCCUCGUCCGUCCUCCUACCACCCACCCACACCGCUCUAUAUAACCCUCGAAGAUCGGAAGGUAGGCAUUUAGGCAGGCAGGCAGGCAGCCAGCCAGCCAGCCAGUGAGCCAUCCAUCCAGCCAGAUCGGAGAGGGACGGGCGGGCGGAUGGACAAUCAGCUAGUUAGCUAGUUUAGCUACCUGGUUGAUCCUGCCAGUAGUCAUAUGCUUGUCUCAAAGAUUAAGCCAUGCAUGUCUAAGUACAGGCCGAUCUAAGGCGAAACCGCGAAUGGCUCAUUAAAUCAGUUGUGGUUCAUUGGAUCUUACCCACCUACCUGGAUAACUGUGGUAAUUCUAGAGCUAAUACAUGCACCCCAGCUCCGACCGCAAGGGAAGAGCGCUUUUAUUAGAUCAAAACCAAUCGGGCCUCGGUCCGUCCAACCUGGUGAAUCUGAAUAACUUUGGGCUGAGCGCACGGCCCUCGCGCCGGCGCCGCAUCUUUCAAGUGUCUGCCUUAUCAGCUUUCGAUUGUAGGUUAUGCGCCUACAAUGGCUAUAACGGGUAACGGGGAAUCAGGGUUCGAUUCCGGAGAGGGAGCCUGAGAAACGGCUACCACAUCUAAGGAAGGCAGCAGGCACGCAAAUUACCCACUCCCGGCUCGGGGAGGUAGUGACGAAAAAUAACGAUGCGAGACUCUUCCGAGGCCUCGCAAUCGGAAUGAGUACACUUUAAAUCCUUUAACGAGGAUCUAUUGGAGGGCAAGUCUGGUGCCAGCAGCCGCGGUAAUUCCAGCUCCAAUAGCGUAUAUUAAAGUUGUUGCGGUUAAAAAGCUCGUAGUUGGAUCUCAGUUCCGGACCGACGGUUCACCGCCCGGUGUCUACUGUCGGCUUCCGAACAGCCCGCCGGCUCGCGCGGGGUGCUCUUCAUCGAGUGUCCCGAGUGGCCGGCACGUUUACUUUGAAAAAAUUAGAGUGCUCAAAGCAGGCCUCGCCGCCUGAAUAGUCGUGCAUGGAAUAAUGGAAUAGGACCUCGGUUCUAUUUUGUUGGUUUUCGGAACUCGAGGUAAUGAUAAAUAGGGACAGACGGGGGCAUUCGUAUUGCGACGUUAGAGGUGAAAUUCUUGGAUCGUCGCAAGACGAACUACUGCGAAAGCAUUUGCCAAGAAUGUUUUCAUUAAUCAAGAACGAAAGUUAGAGGUUCGAAGGCGAUCAGAUACCGCCCUAGUUCUAACCAUAAACGAUGCUGACUAGCGAUCCGCCGGCGUUAUUCCCAUGACUCGGCGGGCAGCUUCCGGGAAACCAAAGUCUUUGAGUUCCGGGGGAAGUAUGGUUGCAAAGCUGAAACUUAAAGGAAUUGACGGAAGGGCACCACCAGGAGUGGAGCCUGCGGCUUAAUUUGACUCAACACGGGGAACCUCACCAGGCCCGGACACCGGAAGGAUUGACAGAUUGAGAGCUCUUUCUUGAUUCGGUGGGUGGUGGUGCAUGGCCGUUCUUAGUUGGUGGAGCGAUUUGUCUGGUUAAUUCCGAUAACGAACGAGACUCUAGCCUGCUAACUAGUCGAUGGAUCUCCCAUAUGUGUCCAUCGCAUCUUCUUAGAGGGAUAAGCGGCGUCUAGCCGCACGAGAUUGAGCAAUAACAGGUCUGUGAUGCC